CUCAAGAUCUCCAACAUCACCGCUAAUCAGAGAAACAUCUAUUUGAGAAUUAUCGCAAAAGGCGACAAUUAUAGUUUCAAACACAACGUUGUCUCGAUUUUUUUGUCUGGUGUUAAACCAGACAUUAUUAACCAAGAUACUACAAGUCCCCC